rnacentral:rRNA from 1 species
CACCGCGGUUACACGGACAGCCCAAGUUGACAGACUGACGGCGUAAAGGGUGGUUAGGGAGAUAUAUAAACUAAAGCCGAAGAUCCCCAAGACUGUAGUACGUCACCUCGGAGGAAAGAAGAUCAACUACGAAAGUGGCUUUACAACACCUGACCCCACGAAAGCCAGGGCA